rnacentral:lncRNA from 1 species
CAACGGCACCUUUGACUUUGGCAGAAGAGUGAAGAUGUCUGUUAAACCAGACGAUAGCAAGGAUGAGGAGGGGAAUCAUGGGCCGGAGGUCACAGUUGUGGAGACGAACCGCUUUGGCUUCAUUCUAGGGAAUGGAGAAACUGACAGGGAUGGUCCAUGUCCUGAGUUAGUGAGACAUCGAGAGUCCAAGUGGCUCAGCCUCAUGACUCAAUGGGAGCAAGUGAUGGAGAAAAAGAGCAACAAG